AAAUGAAUUGACGGGGACCCGCACAAGCAGCGGAGCAUGGGGUUUAAUUCGAAGCAACGCGAAAAACCUUACCAGAACUUGACAUCUAGUGACGAACCUUGUAAUGAGGUUUUCCCUUCGGGGCACGAAGACAGGUGUUGCAUGGUUGUCGUCAGCUCGUGUCGUGAGAUGUUAGGUUAAGUCCUGCAACGAGCGCAACCCUCGUGUACAGUUGCCAGUAUUAAGUUAGGAACUCUGUACAGACCGCCGUGGUUAACACGGAGGAAGGUGGGGAUGACGUCAAAUCAUCACGGCCCUUACGUUCUGGGCCACACCCGUGCUACAAUGGCUAUUACAAAGAGCAGCGAUAUAGCAAUAUGGAGCGAAUCUCAUAAAGAUAGUCUCAGUUCAGAUUGUGGGCUGCAACUCGCCCACAUGAAGUAGGAGUUGCUAGUAAUCCCGAAUCAGCAUGUCGGGGUGAAUGCGUUCCCGGGUCUUGUACACACCGCCCGU
rnacentral:rRNA from 1 species